rnacentral:rRNA from 1 species
UGAGUACGAGAUGCUACGGCGUCGAAGCAGUCUAGGUCAUACUUCCAAGAAAAGCUUGCACUGUCAUAAACAAAGAAUGCCUGUACCAUAACCGACACAGGUGGGUAGGUAGAGUAUACUAAGGGGCGCGAGAUAACUCUCUCUAAGGAACUCGGCAAAAUGACUCCGUAACUUCGGGAGAAGGAGUGCCUUAUUUUAAGGUUGCAAUAACAAGAUCCAAGCUACUGUUUACCAAAAACACAGGUCUCCGCUAAGUCGUAAGACGAUGUAUGGGGGCUGACGCCUGCCCAGUGCCAGAAGGUUAAAGAAGUUGGUUAGCAUUUGCGAAGCUGAUAACUGAAGCCCUGGUGAACGGCGGCCGUAACAAUAACGGUCCUAAGGUAGCGAAAUUCCUUGUCGGGUAAGUUCCGACCCGCACGAAAGGCGUAAUGAUUUGGAUACUGUCUCGGAGAGGGGCUCGGUGAAAUAGACUUGUCUGUGAAGAUGCGGACUACCUGCACCUGGACAGAAAGACCCUAUGAAGCUUUACUGUAACUUGAGAUUGAAAUUGGACUUUAUUUGCGCAGUAUAGGUGGGAGGCGUUGAGAAUAAUCUUGCGGGAUUAUCGGAGCCAUCAGUGAGAUACCACUCUUGUAAUGUUAGAUUUCUAACUUUGUAUCAUUAUCUGGUCAAAGAACAGUUUCAGGCGGGCAGUUUGACUGGGGCGGUCGCCUCCCAAAGGGUAACGGAGGCGCACAAAGGUUUCCUCUGAACGGGUAGAAAUCGUAUCUAGAGUGUAAAGGCAUAAGGAAGCUUGACUGUGAGACCUACAAGUCGAGCAGGGACGAAAGUCGGUCUUAGUGAUCUGACGGUGCUGAGUGGAAAGGCCGUCACUCAACGGAUAAAAGUUACUCUAGGAUAACAGGCUGAUCUCCCCCGAGAGUUCACAUCGACGGGGAGGUUUGGCACCUCGAUGUCGGCUCAUCGCAUCCUGGGGCGGUAGUACGUCCCAAGGGUUGGGCUGUUCGCCCAUGAAAGCGGUACGCGAGCUGGGUUCAGAACGUCGUGAGACAGUUCGGUCCAUAUCCGGUGUAGGCGUUAGAAUAUUGAAAGGAGCCUUCUCUAGUACGAGAGGACCGAGAUGGACAUACCUCUGGUGUGCCAGUUAUCGUGCCAACGGUAAACGCUGGGUAGCUAUGUAUGGAGUGGAUAACCGCUGAAAGCAUCUAAGUGGGAAGCCCACCUUAAGAUAAG